rnacentral:rRNA from 1 species
UCAGUUCAGAUUGCAGGCUGCAACUCGCCUGCAUGAAGUUGGAAUUGCUAGUAAUCGCGAAUCAGCCAUGGCGCGGUGAAUACGUUCCCGGGCCUUGUACACACCGCCCGUCAAGCCAUGGAAGCCGGGGGCGCUUGAAGUGCGUUGCCGCAAGGCGCGCCCUAGAGCGAAACCGGUGACUGGGGCUAAGUCGUAACAAGGUAAC